UGGGGAAUUUUGGACAAUGGGCGAAAGCCUGAUCCAGCAAUGCCGCGUGUGUGAAGAAGGCCUUCGGGUUGUAAAGCACUUUUGUCCGGAAAGAAAUCCUUGGCUCUAAUACAGUCGGGGGAUGACGGUACCGGAAGAAUAAGCACCGGCUAACUACGUGCCAGCAGCCGCGGUAAUACGUAGGGUGCAAGCGUUAAUCGGAAUUACUGGGCGUAAAGCGUGCGCAGGCGGUUUGCUAAGACCGAUGUGAAAUCCCCGGGCUCAACCUGGGAACUGCAUUGGUGACUGGCAGGCUAGAGUAUGGCAGAGGGGGGUAGAAUUCCACGUGUAGCAGUGAAAUGCGUAGAGAUGUGGAGGAAUACCGAUGGCGAAGGCAGCCCCCUGGGCCAAUACUGACGCUCAUGCACGAAAGCGUGGGGAGCAAAACAGGAUUAGAUACCCUGGUAGUCCACGCCCUAAAACGAUGUCAACUAGUUGUUGGGGAUUCAUUUCCUUAGUAACGUAGCUAACGCGUGAAGUUGACCGCCUGGGGAGUACGGUCGCAAGAUUAAAACUCAAAGGAAUUGACGGGGUCGUAGCUGUUUCCU
rnacentral:rRNA from 1 species